rnacentral:lncRNA from 1 species
GCUGGACCGUGAAUGGACCUUUAAGAGAAAGCUGCAGUCACACAGGUAAAAGAACACCAACCAAGACCAUGGCAAACCGCAUCUCAGUGGCCAGUCUGGAGAACUUGUGGCUUCAACAGUUUCAGAUGGAUUUCCCAGAGGGAGGGAAACAUGAUGAAGUGGAGAUGUCCCGAGAAGACCAUCAGUUCAUGGACAUUGUAAUGGAUUCAGCAAAACGGGUCGACGGCCACUACAAUAUAUGUUUGCCUCUCAAGAACAAGAUGGUCAACAUGCCAAACAAUCGGAUAAUGGCCGAGCAGCGAACUCAGAGCUUAAGGCGAAAAUUCAUCAGGAAUGACUGCUUUCACAAGGAAUACACAGACUUCAUGGACGGCAUUCUUCAGAAGGGCUAUGCAGUACAGCUGUCUGAUGAAGAGAUGACGCACAAGGAAGGGAAGGUAUGGUAUAUACCGCACCAUGCUGUAUAUCACCCUGUGAAGCAGAAACUAAGAGUCGUGUUCGACUGUGCCGCCUCCUAUCAGGGAACAUCACUGAACGAACAACUUUUGCAAGGUCCAGAUCUGACCAGCAGUCUAAUUGGCGUUGUCAUUCGAUUCAGACAAGAACCAGUUGCGAUCAUGGCGGACGUGGAAGCGAUGUUCCACCAGGUAAAAGUGCCUGACGACGACUCCAACUUACUGAGGUUCCUCUGGUGGCCAGGCGGGGACUACAAUCAAGCUUUGACUGAACACAAGAUGACUGUGCAUCUGUUCGGAGCCACAUCCUCCCCCAGCUGCGCUAGUUUUGCGUUGAGGAAGUGUGCCGAAGAUCAGAGCGGACAGUUCAAAGCCGAAGUUGUACAGACAGUCUUACAGAAUUUUUACGUGGAUGACUGCCUCAAAUCCGUUGCUACAGAUGAGGCAGCCAUAUCAAUGUGUCAAGAUCUCAUGAGAAUCUGCGCCUAUGGAGGCUUUCGUCUCACAAAAUGGGUGAGCAACCGUCGGAAAGUGCUCGACUCCAUCCCAAAGUCUGAACUGGCUGGAGAGAUGAAAACCUUGGAUCUUGACCAUGAUGAACUUCCUCUGGAAAGAGCCCUUGGACUCAAUUGGUGUGUCGAGUCUGACACAUUUAAGUUUAAAAUCACCAUCAGAGACCGCCCAUUCACAAGACGGGGACUUCUUUCAGUUGUCGGUUCAGUGUAUGACCCAUUAGGCAUCCUGUCGCCUGUGGUUUUGCCAGCAAAGACCAUCCUGCAAGACCUGUGCAGACUGAAGCUGGGAUGGGAUGACGACUUACCUGAACACAUCAAGAAGCGGUGGUCCGACUGGUUAGCCAGUCUUCCUGCUUUGGAGAACUUCUCAUUUCCGAGAUGUCUGAAGCCUGAAGGAUUUGGAGAUUAUGGAUUUGCGCAGCUACAUCACUUUGCUGAUGCGAGUGAGUAUGCUUAUGGUUCAGUCAGUUACCUUCUCAUGCGGAGCGCAAGUAACAAACUGCAUUGUGCGUUCA